rnacentral:lncRNA from 1 species
AUUUUAUUGAAUAAAAACCCAUUACCCAGAAACUUAAAAUCUAAAAUUUAUAAAGAAAACAAAAAGGGAGCUCACGUCAAUAGAUAUAAACAAUUUCCCAAAGUUUAAUGCAAAUUGGUUAAAGAGUUUUUGAGUUAAUGUCCGACAUGUUGACAACAGACGGACAACAGUAUACCAUAAUACGUUCCGUAAACGAGCGUAUAAAAA